UCCUAGCCUAGUGGACAUGGCAUCUGCCCGGUAAGCGGAACACUGUGGGUUCGAUUCCCAUCCCUGGACAC